rnacentral:rRNA from 1 species
CGGGUGAACGCUGGCGGCGUGCCUAACACAUGCAAGUCGAGCGGUGCAGUUUGAAGCUUCGGUGGAAAGCUGCAUAGCGGCGGACGGGUGAGGAAAACGUAGGAACGUGCCCCUUGGAGUUGGAUAGCCACGGGAAACUGUGGGUAAACCGACAUAGACUCGAGAGAGUAAAGGCCGAAAGGCGCCAAGGGAGCGGCCUGCGGCCCAUCAGGUAGUUGGUAGUGUAAAGGACUACCAAGCCGACGACGGGUAGCCGGUCUGAGAGGAUGGCCGGCCACAAGGGCACUGAGAGACGGGCCCUACUCCUACGGGAGGCAGCAGUGGGGGAUUUUGGACAAUGGGCGAAAGCCUGAUCCAGCGACGCCGCGUGCAGGAAGACGGCCUUAUGGGUUGUAAACUGCUUUUAUACGGGAGCAAUAAGGGUUACGAGUAAUCCGAUGAGAGUACUGUAUGAAUAAGGAUCGGCUAACUCCGUG